rnacentral:rRNA from 1 species
AUUGAACGCUGGCGGCAUGCCUAACACAUGCAAGUCGAGCGGAUGAAGGGAGCUUGCUCCUGGAUUCAGCGGCGGACGGGUGGGUAAUGCCUAGGAAUCUGCCUGGUCGUGGGGGAUAACGUCCUUAAACGGGCGCUAAUACCGCAUCCGUCCUUAUGUGGCAAGUGGGGGAUCUUCGGACCUCACGCUCUCUGCUGAGCCUAGGUCGGAUUAGCUAGUUGGUGGGGUAAAGGCCUACCAAGGCGACGAUCCGUAACUGGUCUGAGAGGAUGAUCAGUCACACUGGAACUGAGAAACGGUACAGACUCCGAAGGGAGGAAGCAGUAGGGAAUAUUGGACAAUGGGCGAAAGCCUGAUACAGCAAAGCCGCGUGUGUGAAGAAGGUCUUCGGAUUGUAAAGCACUGUAAGUUGGGAGGAAGGGAAGUAAGUUAAUACCUGGCGGUUUUGACGGUACCAACAGAAUAAGCACCGGCUAACUUCGUG